rnacentral:miRNA from 15 species
CUUGUGCGUGCGACAGCGACUG